UAUGUACCCGACCUCACCCCAGUGAGAUGAUGUAUUUGUUGUUGUUGUUGUUGUUGUUGUGAUUGUAAGUAAACCCUAAAUAUUCUUACACCUAUUUCUUCUGCUGCUGUUGUGUACAGGAAUCAAGUGAUGUUUGUUCUAAAUUAGCACUUUUGGACACUAAGAAACCAUUGAUUUAUUGAAUUAACACUUUGUAUCCAAUUAAUUGUUGAGUUUUUGUUAUACCAUGUCUAAUAAUAAUAAUAUUAGACCUUCAAACACUCAACCUAGUUUCUCUAAUGCUCCUAAACAUCAACAACACCAUAAUUCCUUGCAAAACAAUGGUUUUGGUAUGCAAAAUCAGCAUCAAAAUCCAAACUUGAUGAUGCCCUUCAUGCCUAACAUGCAACAAUCUUUCAUGAGUGGUGCUAAUCACAUGCUUCCUAUGCAAAACAACAACCCUAUGUAUUUUCAACAGGGUCAGUCCAUUGUAGGGUUAGGUCCCCAAAAUCCCAUGGUCCCUCUUCAGGGGCAAGUCAUGCAGAAUGCACCUCAAAUGAAUUUGGCUCAAGUCCAGUCACAAAUUUUAGCUCAAGGUAUUAUGAAUUUGCUUCAGCAGCAGCCUAAUAUGAACAUGAAUAUGAAUAUGAAUAUGAAUAUGCCGAAUGGGCAAUUUCGUGCCCCGUAUCCUAUGCAAAAUAUGAAUCAACAGUUACCUAUGCAAAUGGCAAACCCGUCUCAAGUUGUUCCAUAUGGAAUGCAUCCUGGUCCCCGCCCCAUGUUCGGGUUUACAAACCAAAUGCCUCAGGCUAUGGUUCCUCAAAACACGAUGUUUUCGGCUAAUCCUCAGAUGGGGCUUGUGCCCGGAAAUCAGGUGAGGCCACAUGUUAACCAGAAUGAGCAAAACACAAAUGCUUUUUCACCUCAGCAGUUGCAAAGGAACGAGAAUUCUGCGUUGCAAAAUCCUAGUCCGGUUAUGAAGGCACAGGGAAAUUUGAAUACCAAUGUUGAAGCUAAUGUUCCGAACUCUAAUUGGAAGGGAUCACCGAACCAAAACUUCAAAAAUAAGCC
rnacentral:lncRNA from 1 species